AGGGUGUAAACGCUGCAGACUUGGUGUUGGGAACCCUUCGGGGGUGCUCAGUGCCGGAGAGAAGUUGUUAAGUCUGCUACUUGGGGAGUACGUCCGCAAGGAUGAAACUUAAAGGAAUUGGCGGGGGGAGCACCGCAACGGGAGGAGCGUGCGGUUUAAUUGGAUUCAACGCCGAAAAACUCACCAGGGAAGACUGUUACAUGAAAGCCGAGAUGAAGACUCUGCUAGAUUUUUCAGAGAGGAGGUGCAUGGCGUCAGUGACU
rnacentral:rRNA from 1 species